GGUGAAUAUAAUUUAGUUGGUUAAAAUGCCAGACUGUGACUUUGGAACGAUGGGUUCAAAUCCCAUUAUUUGCC
rnacentral:tRNA from 1 species